rnacentral:rRNA from 1 species
CNUUUCGUUUUUUGANAGUCCUUACUACUUGGAUACCGUGGUAUUCUAGAGCUAAUACAUGCUAAAAACCUCGACUUCGGAAGGGGUGUAUUUAUUAGAUAAAAAACCAAUGCCCUUCGGGGCUCCCUGGUGAUUCAUAAUAACUUAACGAAUCGCAUGGCCUUGUGCCGGCGAUGGUUCAUUCAAAUUUCUGCCCUAUCAACUUUCGAUGGUAGAGUAGUGGUCUACCAUGGUUUCAACGGGUAACGGGGAAUUAGGGUUCUAUUCCGGAGAGGGAGCCUGAGAAACGGCUACCACAUCCAAGGAAGGCAGCAGGCGCGCAAAUUACCCAAUCCCGACACGGGGAGGUAGUGACAAUAAAUACUGAUACAGGGCUCUUUUGGGUCUUGUAAUUGGG